GAUGAACGCUGGCGGCGUGCCUAAUACAUGCAAGUCGAGCGAACAGAUGAGAAGCUUGCUUCUCUGAUGUUAGCGGCGGACGGGUGAGUAACACGUGGGUAACCUACCUAUAAGACUGGGAUAACUCCGGGAAACCGGGGCUAAUACCGGAUAAUAUUUUGAACCGCAUGGUUCAAUAGUGAAAGACGGUUUCGGCUGUCACUUAUAGAUGGACCCGCGCCGUAUUAGCUAGUUGGUAAGGUAACGGCUUACCAAGGCGACGAUACGUAGCCGACCUGAGAGGGUGAUCGGCCACACUGGAACUGAGACACGGUCCAGACUCCUACGGGAGGCAGCAGUAGGGAAUCUUCCGCAAUGGGCGAAAGCCUGACGGAGCAACGCCGCGUGAGUGAUGAAGGUCUUCGGAUCGUAAAACCCUGUUGUUAGGGAAGAACAAAUUUGUUAGUAACUGAACAAGUCUUGACGGUACCUAACCAGAAAGCCACGGCUAACUACGUGCCAGCCGCCGCAGUAU
rnacentral:rRNA from 1 species